GCGCCCGUAGCUCAACUGGAUAGAGCACUUGACUACGAAUCAAGAGGCUAGGAGUUCGAAUCUCUUCGGGCGCA
rnacentral:tRNA from 1 species